rnacentral:rRNA from 1 species
UACAGGGGGUGCAAACGUUGCUCGGAAUCAUUGGGCGUAAAGCGCACGUAGGCGGUUCGUUAUGUCGGAUGUGAAAGCCCUUGGCUUAACCGAGGAAGUGCAUCCGAAACUGGCGAGCUAGAGUACGAAAGAGGAUCGCAGAAUUCCCGGUGUAGAGGUGAAAUUCGUAGAUAUCGGGAGGAACACCGGUGGCGAAGGCGGCGAUCUGGGUCGAUACUGACGCUGAGGUGCGAAAGCGUGGGGAGCAAACAGG